rnacentral:rRNA from 1 species
UACGUAGGCGGCAAGCGUUGUCCGGAAUCAUUGGGCGUAAAGGGGGCGCAGGCGGGAACAUAAGUCUUUCCUGAAAGUUCGGGGCUCAGCCCCGUGAUGGGAAGGAAACUGUGUUUCUUGAGCGCGGGGGAGGGAAGCGGAAUUCCUGGUGUAGCGGUGAAAUGCGUAGAUACCAGGAAGAACACCAGUGGCGAAGGCGGCUUCCUGGACCGCGGCUGACGCUGAGGCCCGAAAGCGUGGGGAGCAAACA